GACGAUGUAGUUUAUUUAAGAAUUUUAAGUUUGCGUCUUAAAGGAGGGUAUUCUUUACUUCUUCGUUG
rnacentral:tRNA from 1 species